rnacentral:tRNA from 1 species
UCCCUGAUGGCUCAGAUGGUAAAGCAUCUACCUGCAAUGCAGGAGACCUGGGUUCGAUCCCUGGGUGGGAA